rnacentral:rRNA from 1 species
AGCGAACGCUGGCGGCAGGCUUAACACAUGCAAGUCGAACGGGCAUCUUCGGAUGUCAGUGGCAGACGGGUGAGUAACACGUGGGAACGUACCCUUCGGUUCGGAAUAACUCAGGGAAACUUGAGCUAAUACCGGAUACGCCCUCUUGGGGAAAGGUUUACUGCCGAAGGUGCGGCCCGCGUCUGAUCAGCUUGUUGGUGGGGUAACGGCCUACCAAGGCGGCGAUCGGUAGCUGGGCUGAGAGGAUGAUCAGACACACUGGGAGUGAGACACGGCCGGGACUCCUACGGGAGGCAGCAGUGGGGGAUAUUGGAAAAUGGGCGCAAGCAUGAUCCAGCCAUGCCGGGUGAGUGAUGAAGGCCGGAGGGUUGUAAAGCUCUUUUGUCCGGGACUAUAAUGACGGUACCGGAAGAAUAAGCCCCGGCUAACUUCGUG